UUGACUGCUCCUUAAACCAAGCACACUCCCUGGGCCAGCUGCGGGAGAGGAAGCGUAGCAAUAACUAAACUUCAAAACCUACCCAGGGAGGCAGCGGGGGAGAAGCAAAGAAAUAAAUGGCCCAGCUGCCCUGCUAUUCACCGAACGCACUGUCCUCGAAGGCUUCACGGUUACAGUCCAUCAUGGAGUGAGGUCAGCCAGAAACUAAAGAAGAAACUGUAGAAAAGCUCUGCUUGCUGGCUCCAUCUCAGUGAGAUCCUCAGAUGAAAGCAUGGCAAACACUUGCCUCAAGUAGAUGAAAGCCCUGUGGUGACAAGUGCAGUGUCUUGGCGACACAGAGAGGAAAUGACUAUGAAAGAACCUGAGAUCAAAUGCUGUGCCUGCCUGACACAACACCAAGUUCUGGACUGAGCUGUGGGUACCAUGGAAACAGGAAGUAAGGAGAAGAAAUAGAGUUUCUGCAGUAUCAGUCCAUACAGACACAUGACCAAGAGAUGAGGGGAUGAUGGGUGUCCAGUACAAAGCAAUGUAGACAGAUGAUAUGGAGUUCAUGCCUUCUCUUGGAACUAUCCAAGUCUCCUGGUAUUUGUAGGAUUCCAGCAGAAAGAGAGAGCAUCAGGCUGAAAUCAUUCCCACAGUUCCAGAAAGGUACUUGUCCUAGCUAAGAACCAUGACCAAAGCAACCCUGGGGAAGGAAGGGUUUAUUUGGACUAUG